rnacentral:sRNA from 1 species
UUAUCUGACGAGUUUUGUACCUAUGGGUACAAAACGUCGCGUUAUUGUAUGCGGUUUGUAAACAAACCGCUUGAAAAAACUUUUUUCAGGAUUUGAUAAUCCUUACAAAAAGUUUUCAUAGGA